UUCACCGUCCCUUCUUCUACAAGCACGUUGCACAACUUCUUGGAAAGGAUGCCAAGGAUGGUUUCCAGGCGUCAUUGCGAGGUUACGCCCCACUGCUGUUUAAGCACAUGAAAAGUGUAGUAAAGAGGGAUGUCAUCGAAUGGGUCAUCGAGACAGAGCGGGAGGUGUCAAAGGGCUGCAAGAACGCAAAGGAGGUGGCAUUUGUGCCAUUGUUGGCUGCGUAUUUUGGUGACAAAGAAGAGGCCCUCUUCAAGGUUUUCGAGGAACCAUCUUUUCUGACAAAUGUUAUGUGGCCUGUGAGCAGGAACUGUUUUGCGAAGCAUCCAAUUUCACCGAGGCAGUCUGCGUAAUGUUCCUGACUUACUAUGCUUUCAACAUGAUGUACCCGAACAAUGCUGCGACAACACUGGAAUUCUUGCAAAGGCAGCUGUUCCUCAUCAAUCCACCAAACGGUACAAAGCGGGAAGGGGGACAGCGGUCAAGGACGGUGGUUAAUUCGAGAAUUAUGAAGCUGAACCAUGUGCUUCGAGCAAACGUCUCACCCGAGCAGCUGGACUCUGACCAGUGAACACAGUGCACAAUACUGCACAUUAUUGUUACGGGCACCACGGGAAUGUGGAAAUAGUACAAAUGCCACGAUUAUUUACAAGUUUCCAUUAUACAUUGUAUUUCGCAUUCUAGAUCUAUAAGAUAUUGAGAUCA